UACGAAGGGGGCUAGCGUUGCUCGGAAUCACUGGGCGUAAAGCGCACGUAGGCGGAUCUUUAAGUCAGGGGUGAAAUCCCAAGGCUCAACCUUGGAACUGCCUUUGAUACUGGGGAUCUCGAGUCCGGAAGAGGUUGGUGGAACUGCGAGUGUAGAGGUGAAAUUCGUAGAUAUUCGCAAGAACACCAGUGGCGAAGGCGGCCAACUGGUCCGGAACUGACGCUGAGGCACGAAAGCGUGGGGGGCAAACAGG
rnacentral:rRNA from 1 species